GGACAUGAUGGCUUAGUGGUUAGUACAUUUGCCUCAACACAGGGUUGGGGGUUCGAUUCCCACCAUGGCCC